rnacentral:pre_miRNA from 1 species
CAAGUACUCCCUCCGUCCGGAAUUACUUGUCAUCAAAAUGGAUGUGUCUAGAACUAAAAUACAUCUUGAUACAUCCAUUUCAAUGACAAGUAUUUUCGGACGGAGGGAGUACAAG